rnacentral:rRNA from 1 species
CCUACGGGAGGCAGCAGUGAGGAAUAUUGGUCAAUGGAGGCAACUCUGAACCAGCCAUGCCGCGUGCAGGAUGACGGUCCUAUGGAUUGUAAACUGCUUUUGUACGGGAAGAAAUGUAAUUACGUGUAAUUAUUUGACGGUACCGUAAGAAUAAGGAUCGGCUAACUCCGUGCCAGCAGCCGCGGUAAU